CAUUCACGUCUAUUAUAGGGACAAAUUAAAUAAAACCCAGUAUGGGAUGGAGGGAAACAUAGAGCCUCGCUGGCCAUCAAUAGUUGUUGGAAAGAGACGGCAAUGGGAGGAACACUAUGAAGGGGAAGCGGAGACAGGAAAACCAGAGGAGCUGAUUCAAGGCAGAGCCAGAGAACAUUUAAGAAAGGCAAGACUGAUCCAGACAGACACUGUGGAAAGGAAGCCAGCAAAAAAAGUUAAUCGGAGCGAGUCCAGAGUUUAGUUGCUUUUUCAUUUGUCGAUCUGAACAGGUUUUAGUUGUUGCAAAUGGACAUACUAAGUUCUGCAGGAAUUAUCUGAAGAGGUGCAGUGGGACAAUUUGUCUGCGCUAGGCCGAUGUGUUUAGCGCUCUGAUGGAAAAUAUUAAGUACCGCGAUCAUCUCAUGGAGAUGAAAAUGCUUUUUAAAAGUGUGCAUGAUAGAGCUUGCUUCAUCCCCGAUGGACUGAUUUGGUGGAUGCAAGAAGAAAAAGGUGAAAAAGAUCUCAUCAUGGAUUCAUGGACGCCUUGUAAAACUAGGACAGAACAAUUCUCCGACGUGUCGGUCAAACCCAGUCGUGGUGAUGAUGGGAUGGAAUGAGAUUAGCUGUUUUUGCUCCUCCAGAGAUACCGAGGAGUUCCCAGGCUUUGAAGAGAUAUCGUGUCUCCAGUGGGUUCUGGUUCUUGUCAGGGACCUCCUCCUGGUUGGACAAGCCAAAAAACAUGUUUCAUGGGAAGCGUCCAGGAGGCAUCAUUUGGAUUUCGUCACUUGUUUUGAGGAAACUUCUGUAAAGAGAGCAACUCUUCAGAGUUUUGUUGAUGCAAGAUGGAGACAGACCCUCGCGUGAAGCAGCAUGAGAUGCAUCACCCUCCUAUCUCCAGAAUUAAUUAAAAUCAACCGGAUCCAGGCAGAACUAGAGGUUGUUUGGAUUUCACUUAAUUUCCUUUUUAGCUAUAAAAAGGACCUAAUGCAAAUUUUGAAUCAACAUCCGGCUGACAUCAAGCUGGAUGCAUUUCUGCCACAUUGAAAAUCAAAGUUCCAGUUAGCCGAGAACCCAGCAGUUCUCUAUAACCAACCCAUUAAACGCAAGAGCUACAAACUCUGAGCGAGCACUACUUGGGCCGUAUUUAUACCGUAGGUCUCGAUGCUCAAUUUUAAUUAGUUGCUUAUAUCAUAUUUUAAAAGUAACCCAUCUGCAGGGUAGUUGAGCUCGGGUCCCAAUCUGGAAAAACAGGUGCUAUUAUCAAUGAGCCUCAUUCAGGAAGUGCGCUUGCUCCAUUAAUUAGCAUAAAUCCCUGCCGAGCAUCCAGCACAUAAGGAGGUGUGAAAGUGAAACCUCAACCUGCACAUGAACCUAAGAACAUUAUGAAAUUUGGAGAGACAUCUUUGUUAAGAAUAAUACGUGAUGGUCCUGAUGCCACCACAGAAGUCACCAUUCUGAAGGUAAGCUUAUACUUGUAUCUGUGUCUUGUUGGGGAUGUACAGUAAAUCAGAAUUUAAGUUAACGUGACCUUAGAUUUCCUCUUAACAUACCUUUAUUCUGCAUGAAUCCGUGUUCUACAUGUGUUUAAUAACUUCCACAUCUAAAGUUGAUGGGAUAGUCAGAUAGCAGAUGGUGUAUGAUCCUUUCCUGCCAACAUUGUCAUUUGUGUAUCAAACUGAACUUUUAAAAAGAUCUCUACUACACCCUUGAUAGAAAUGCAUUUAGCAACCACACAAGUUUACUUGGACCAUGCUGAUUACAUUUCCACUGUCUUUUAAUAAAUUUCAAAUUUUAA